GGAGUUUGAAGGUUUUAAGGGGGUGGUUCAAAGGUGGAGAGUGGGUAAUGGCAAGAAUUCUUCUUUUUCGAAUGAUCCCUUGUUGAAAGGUGGUCCUUUACGAUACAAGUUCAACCACUUUUUUUAUCUUCAUGUUGAUAGUAAUAUAACAGUGGCUGAGAUGAGGAAGUUAGGUUGGGGGUUGAUGGAAAUAAGUGGAAG
rnacentral:lncRNA from 1 species